rnacentral:tRNA from 1 species
GGGCCCGUAGCUCAAAUCCAAAUAUGUGGAGAGCAGCCUGGUUAGAGCGCUGGGCUUUUAACCCAUAGGUUGGGGGUUCAAAUCCCUCCGGGCCCG